rnacentral:lncRNA from 1 species
CUGUUGCCUUGUAGUAUGCUGCGGUGAAUAGAAAAGCAUUCUGAAUAACUGGCAGGUUUUCCUAACCAGCUGGGUGUUUUUCCUUUCAGCAAUUCACUAUCCAAGCCCUGUUGCCCAGGUGCUGAAAUGACUGGAAUCACUUGAAGACAAGGCACAUGAACCAAUAUCACUGCAUUGUCUUCAGAGUAGAAGUUGGACUGGUGAAGUUGUGUGGUUGUUGAAGUGUGUAGAAGUUGAACUGGCGUCCAUCAUCACCUUGGGAUUUCGUCUGACAGUUGUGAUGCUGUGUGGUUGCUUCAUUGCUUGUUGGUGAAAUUUUGCAAGGAGAACGUUAUGAGAAAAUGUGAAAGGGGCAUGCAGCCUACUGUCAACUAUUGUGCUGUAAAUUUUGGUAGCUAUCCUACUGAAUGUGUCAUCCAAAUGACAGAGGAUUCAUCAUAAUUAUCGACUGAUUAUAUUGGACUUGCUAGAUCACCAACCCCAGCAUGGACCAAUCUCUCAUUCCAUCUUCUAAACCUUGGAUAACUGAUUGGUUCUUGGGUUUGUAAUUUUGCAUGACAUACUUAAUGAGAAGUCACGUCUUUGAAGAAAAAGGACAAUGGGUAUACAGUCAACAAGGUCCUUUGUUUGGUAGCCCGUUUGCUGCUCUCACCCCUUUUUACUUCCUUAAACAGGCCCUUUUGAUUUGAGGGUAACUCCUUCGCUACUUAUCAUGGGCUUCAUCUAUUGGUGAAAACUGAAAAGAGAAAGCUGUAAUUCAAGACUGGUAGUUGUUGGAUGUCUAAGCCGGAAGCCUACUAUGGUUAAUCGCUCUCGAAUUGUUCCUCAACUCUUCUCUAUUUUUCUGGUUUCUCUUAACCAUUGGCCAGGUAAUCUCCCUGGCUGCAUUCACUUAAGGCAGUGUCUCCCCUUGUCUUUAUUGACUGUGUGUGCAAGUUUCAAAAGCAGUUUAUCACCCAAAUGAGAUAAAAGGAGUUUGUUAGGUUUGUUUUAUUUGGGUAUAAAU